CGACCGCUGGCGGCGUGCUUCACACAUGCAAGUCGACCGGAAAGGCCCCUUUGGGGGUCCUCGAGUGCCGAACGGGUGAGUAACACGUGAGUAACCUGCCCUUGACUUCGGGAUAACUUCAGGAAACUGGGGCUAAUACCGGAUAGGAAUCCUUGCUGCAUGGUGGGGGUUGGAAAGCUUCGGCGGUUUUGGAUGGACUCGCGGCUUAUCAGCUUGUUGGUGGGGUAGUGGCUUACCAAGGCUUUGACGGGUAGCCGGCCUGAGAGGGCGACCGGCCACAUUGGGACUGAGAUACGGCCCAGACUCCUACGGGAGGCAGCAGUGGGGAAUAUUGCACAAUGGGCGGAAGCCUGAUGCAGCAACGCCGCGUGCGGGAGGACGGCCUUCGGGUUGUAAACCGCUUUCAGCAGGGGCGAAGCUUGUGGUGACGGUACCUGCAGAAGAAGCACCGGCUAACUACGUG
rnacentral:rRNA from 1 species